rnacentral:rRNA from 1 species
CCUACGGGAGGCAGCAGUGGGGAAUAUUGCACAAUGGGGGAAACCCUGAUGCAGCGACGCCGCGUGAGUGAAGAAGGAUUUCGGUAUGUAAAGCUCUAUCAGCAGGGAAGAAAAUGACGGUACCUGAGUAAGAAGCCACGGCUAACUACGAGCCAGCAGCCGCGGUAAUACGGAGGGGGCAAGCGUUAUCCGGAUUUACUGGGGUUAAAGGGAGCGUAGACGGCAGCACAAGUCUGGCGUGAAAUGCCGGGGCUUAACCCCGGAACUGCUUUGGAAACUGUGCAGCUUGAGUGCAGGAGAGGUAAGUGGAAUUCCUGGUGUAGCGGUGACAUGCGUAGAUAUUAGGAGGAACACCAGUGGCGAAGGCGGCUUACUGGACUGUAACUGACGUUGAGGCUCGAACGCGUGGGGAGCAAACAGGAUUAGAUACCCCGGUAGUC